CCUACGGGUGGCAGCAGUGAGGGAUAUUGGUCAAUGGGGGAAACCCUGAUCCAGCAAUGCCGCGUGAGGGCAGACGGUUUUCGGAUUGUAAACCUCUGUCCUCUGUGAAGCUAAUGACGGUAGCAGAGGAGGAAGCUCCGGCUAACUACGUGCCAGCAGCCGCGGUACUACGUAGGGCGCAAGCGUUGUCCGGAAUUACUGGGUGUAAAGGGUUCGUUGGCGGGCUUGCAAGUCAGAAGGGAAAUCUAUGGGCUUAACCCAUAAACUGCUUUUGAAACUGUAAGGCUUGAGUGAAGUAGAGGGAGGCGGAAUGCCCGGUGGAGCGGUGAAAUGCGUAGAGAUCGGGAGGAACACCAGUGGCGAAGGCGGCCUACUGGGCUUUAACUGACGCUGAGGCACGAAAGCGUGGGUAGCAAACAGGAUUAGAUACCCGUGUAGUC
rnacentral:rRNA from 1 species